UGCAGUGGGACGCAAGGGAACACACUGUGCUUGCACACCGUGUUUUCUUGAGUCGCGAACGGGUGAGUAACGCGUAGGUAACCUGCCUAUUAGCGGGGGAUAACUAUUGGAAACGAUAGCUAAUACCGCAUAAUAUUAAUUAUUGCAUGAUAAUUGAUUGAAAGAUGCAAGCGCAUCACUAGUAGAUGGACCUGCGUUGUAUUAGCUAGUUGGUAAGGUAAGAGCUUACCAAGGCGACGAUACAUAGCCGACCUGAGAGGGUGAUCGGCCACACUGGGACUGAGACACGGCCCAGACUCCUACGGGAGGCAGCAGUAGGGAAUCUUCGGCAAUGGACGAAAGUCUGACCGAGCAACGCCGCGUGAGUGAAGAAGGUUUUCGGAUCGUAAAGCUCUGUUGUAAGUCAAGAACGUGUGUGAGAGUGGAAAGUUCACACAGUGACGGUAGCUUACCAGAAAGGGACGGCUAACUACGUGCCAGCAGCCGCGGUAAUACGUAGGUCCCGAGCGUUGUCCGGAUUUAUUGGGCGUAAAGGGAGCGCAGGCGGUCAGGAAAGUCUGGAGUAAAAGGCUAUGGCUCAACCAUAGUGUGCUCUGGAAACUGUCUGACUUGAGUGCAGAAGGGGAGAGUGGAAUUCCAUGUGUAGCGGUGAAAUGCGUAGAUAUAUGGAGGAACACCAGUGGCGAAAGCGGCUCUCUGGUCUGUCACUGACGCUGAGGCUCGAAAGCGUGGGUAGCGAACAGGAUUAGA
rnacentral:rRNA from 1 species